rnacentral:lncRNA from 1 species
CGUGACAUGGAACAGUUACAGCUUACUGAGGACAUGACCCUAGAUAGGAAGGUUUGGAGGAACAGUAUUAAACUAGAAGGCUAAGGUGGGUGGUCGAGUCGUAGUCCGUAGUUAGGAGGUUUAAGGAUAGCUUGGUUGGGAGUUCCAGUUAUGGGGGAGGGGGUCCUUGGGUUGUUAAUUAUACUGUUUUUUUUGUGAAUGUUGGUUCUUUUGUUACUUUAGCAUAUUGCUUGCCUUUUGGUUAAGUAUACUUUAUUUUUGUGGAUGUUGGUUCUUUGUUCUUUAUCAUGAUGCACGACUGUUGGUCUACGGUCUUUUGUCUUGAGCCGGGGGUCUAUCGGAAACAGCCUCUCUACUCCUUCAGGGGUAGUGGUAUGGACUACGUACAUUUUACCCUCCCCAGACCCCACUAUGUGGGAAUAUACUGGGUUUGUUGUUGUUGUUGUUGU